UAAAUGAAUCCGACAACUUCCGGUAUAUUUUUCGACCUACUUCACGAGCAUAAUUAUCAGCCUGUUAAGCUCAUAAGGGAAAUAAAAGAUCAUUUACUUUAAUAUUCACUUGAAAAGGCUGGUACAUGUAACUAGAAAAAAGUACAGUAUAAGAUUAAAGAAAGACUAGAAGAUUAUUACAAAGAACAGGUGGACAUGUGUCACUGUCAAGCGAAUGAAGAUAAGCAUCACACUCGGUGGGAAUCUCCAGUUUCCAGAUGUAGUGAUCAUAACUGUAUAGGCACCAUUAACACUUUGGACUAGUUGGAGUAUUUUAGAGGGCUAGUCUGAAUUGAAUCGCCUGUCAAUAGUAAAGGCCAGUCAUGAACAUUGUGUUGAAGGAAAAUGUUAAAACUCGGAUUUUCCGCUUAACCAAUCAUUACUUUACCUUAUAUUCAGUGCGGUAAUGUAGGAAAUGGUUACUUUCUGGAACGGAGCUGUCAAUUAUUUUUAAUUUUUUAGCUUGUUAGUGUUAUCGUCGGACAGUUGUGAAGUAAAGACAUCGCAGUUUGACUGUAUACAAGUUGCCUUAAAGAAAGUAUGUCGAAAUCUUAACAGUUAUUCGUUGAUUUUGUAGAAAUUGACCAGAAUUCACCUUUGUUUACACGCAUCGCUUGGACGUCGAAAACGACAUGCAAUGACAUUUCAGUGAAAUUUGGAAACUUGCUCGUAUUUUGGAGCAUUUUGUAGGAUUUCGAUGAAGUAAAAAGUGUUUAUGAUAGGAUACAUUAUUCCUAGAGACAACCACAAAGAUAAAAUAGUGAUCUGGUGUAUUUUUACCGAACAGUUCUUGUUUGUUUUGCAUGAUAUAUUUCUCUCGUUAGGGACCUUUAUUCUUUAUAUAUAGUAUUAUGAGCGUAUAUGGGUAAAUGUGGUAUAUUGUGCCUGUGGUUUUAACAUGUAUCUUAGCUUGCCUGGUGUAAUGAUAAGUAAUAAACCUGAGAAUUGAAACUAUGAGAAUAAAUUGUUGUUAUUAGUCCCCUUCUAUUUUCAUUAAGAGGGGACUAAAGGCUGACCCAUUUCUGUAUGUCAAUGAAAGCUGAAUUUUGCUAUAACUUAAAUGGUACAAAAGUUAGGUUCAUCAUACUGGUAUCUGAUAUAGAACUAUACAGAGAUUUAGCAUGUUAUUAUAAUUUAUGCUCCUGAAAGGGAGAGAAUAUAGUUGCGGUCUUAACCAUCUGUCGGUAUGGACUCAAGUAAUAUUCUGGAUAAAUAUCUGUGUUCAUUCCAUACAGACUUGUACUUUUGGGGAAAAAGGUUGCUCAUGGGAGGAAAAUAUGUUUUUAAUGGUGUUUUUGAGAUUUUAGUUGAUAAAGGAAAAAAAACAUAGUCUGUACUUAGGAAGA